rnacentral:rRNA from 1 species
UGGGGAAUAUUGCACAAUGGGCGCAAGCCUGAUGCAGCCAUGCCGCGUGUAUGAAGAAGGCCUUCGGGUUGUAAAGUACUUUCAGCGGGGAGGAAGGGAGUAAAGUUAAUACCUUUGCUCAUUGACGUUACCCGCAGAAGAAGCACCGGCUAACUCCGUGCCAGCAGCCGCGGUAAUACGGAGGGUGCAAGCGUUAAUCGGAAUUACUGGGCGUAAAGCGCACGCAGGCGGUCUGUCAAGUCGGAUGUGAAAUCCCCGGGCUCAACCUGGGAACUGCAUUCGAAACUGGCAGGCUAGAGUCUUGUAGAGGGGGGUAGAAUUCCAGGUGUGGCGGUGAAAUGCGUAGAGAUCUGGAGGAAUACCGGUGGCGAAGGCGGCCCCCUGGACAAAGACUGACGCUCAGGUGCGAAAGCGUGGGGAGCAAACAGG